rfam:Equus caballus chromosome 21, whole genome shotgun sequence.
CCUCAGGUGCUUUUCAGCACCAUAUGCAUUUACUUCCAUCUUGUCU